AGUGGUAGUAUCACCCAGAAUUGUAUCCGGUGUCUCUCCAUCAUUGUUUUGGAUGGGAGAUUGAUCUGCUUCUGGUUCUGGGACAACAGGUCCUUGAGGAUUUCCAAAAAGAGUGCUAAAUAUGCGUCUAUGGCAUUCAUCACAAAAGUAAAAAUAAGUAAAAUGACCCUCGUAUAAGAGCCUAUGUACCAUUGCAUCUGGUAGGACUCGCUGUAAAAAAUCAGUUGUGGAUGGCGGUACCACCAUAUCUUCCAUCCCCUGAUAAAAUUAGGAAAUUUAAUUACUUUACAAAAGUUGGCGUAAAUAUGUUGACAAAUCAUGAGGAAUUAUCUCGAAUAAGGGAAGCAAAAAUCGGUAAAGGAGAUAUGAACCAACCUGCCAUAUGUGAAUUUGACCAAGGAAUCCAGCCAAGAUUUCUUCUGUUUGACCAUACAGAGAUUUAAUCCAAUGCACAAUACCCUUUCCAGGGCGUUUCCUCUGCACUUUGAGGUCUGCCGGGCUAAAACCCCAAUUUGAAACCUGUAAGACAGCUUCCUCCACAAAUGGUUUUGCAUUCUUUUGUCGAACAGCUUCUUCGAGAUCUCUUUGCCAGAAAUCUUCAAAUGAUGGGUGCUCCAGCAAAGCUUUAUCCUGGAAAGGUUAGACAUUCUGUCGAUUAGGACAUGUUGACCUGGGAAAUAAAUGUGCCAAAGCCACUCAACCUCCAUGGAAUCUCUUAUAAAACAAUGCUGUUGUUUUUUUUUUUAACUAUAAAUUAUAAAUAAGGAGGUAAACAGCUUUUUAGUGAUUUGAUUUCUCGUUAGCUUUAUUUCAUUCAUGGAUAUAUCUUAAUAAGAUGAGCAUAAUCAGUUUAGUGGUGUUACUCUUGUUAUGCUAUUCAGAGUUGUUGGUCAUGAAUCAAAGUUACUCACUCUUAUUCCAAGUGACAAGGCAAGCCGUGUUUCGAUCGGGCCAUGGACUCUACUAAGGAAGCUUCUAUGGUAAAAGUAAGGAAGUAAUCUUGGAAACUUCCUAGCUAAUAUAUACAUGGCUUUCUUCUUUGUUGUCCAUGUCUUCCACAUUUUAUUCUUCUCCACCUUGGUCAUUCUUGGUUCAUAUGGAUUAACCAUUGGAGCGACCAUGACUGCACCUGCAAAUCCAUUCAGCAAUUAGAUUAUUAGAUUCAACUGAGAUAAUAUGAAGCGAACCUAAAUUUGGUUUGCAUAUUGAAUGAAACAGAAUAAGGUAUACUGGGGCUUCUGAAAUCUUCGCCAUAAAUAUUAAGUGCAAUGAAGUGUUUGAAGAACCCUAGGGAUCCAGAAUCAAGAAAGAGCAUCAACAGUAUCAUGAGGGCUUCUUUAACCCACUGUAGAAAACCGGUGACCCUUUCCAACUGCAAAAGUAUGUUUUAGGCCUUCAUGGCACUUCUCAAAAAAUGGGAUCACUUCUUAUGAACUCAUUGAGAAUGAUUCUGAUCUAGUUCAUGGCCCAAGUCGAUGACUAUUUAUAGCUAUUACCUUAAUGAACACUACAUUAGUUGCAGUGUAUCACUCAUUUGACAGGAUUUAUAGACUUUGUCAAUACUUCUUAUUCUUUGGCAGUUUUUACUGUGUCCGUUGGCCCUAAAAAGAUGCUAUAGAGUUGUAAAGUCUGUGAAUCUCCGUGAUAAACAUCAAAACACAUUGACUGCAAAAGGCUAACAGCAGCCAACUAGGUGGGCAUGUGAACUGGACAGGAGAAUGAAAUUUAAUUUGUAAAAACAAAGAAAAAGGCCAUCUUACCGGCAAUCCUGUCCGGGAUGUAUCUAAGGGCAGCCCAAGCAUGCAUGCAUCCACCAGAGUAUCCCACCACCCAGAAUUUGUCAGUAACAUUGACAGCAUAGGAUAAGUGUAGCAUAUCCAUGGCUGAUGACUCGAGAUUCCUGGAAGGAUGAGGAUCACUUUCUCCAAAUCCUGGAAGAUCAUAUGUUACCAAGCGAAUACCAUAUUCUUGCAGUAGCGAAGUCUUAAUGCCAGGAGAAAACAAAGAACAGGAAGACGGGAAGUAUCGCAGGGGUGACCAUACAUAUUGUUGUUUGGAAAGGUCUAAGGGUUAAAAUUUAGUACAAUACCUGCAAGACGGGACGAGAGAAAAGAAUGUGGAGCAAUCAUAGAGAAUCUAGCCAGCUCAGCAGGAACACCUUGUUCAUGAUAAGCCAAAUGUCUACCGUCUGGGAGCAAAAUUCGACUAGCAUUUGGAGGAUGUAUACACACUUUCUUGACCGAUGGAGUUGGAUAUAUAUUAUCAUUACUUGCAAUCAACACUGCAUAUUAGCUUUUAUCAGUAAUUGUAUAAAGUAAAGGUGUAGAAAGAUAGAACAUGCAAUCCGAAGAAAAUGAGGACAUCUGCAAACACAGGUAAGUUGAUCAACAAAUGAAGGGCAUAAAUUGUCAACCACUGUAAUCAAAUUUUCACAAAUUCAUGUGGAAAAGCGAGGAACUCAAUUUUUUUUGUUCUCUACUAAUUACUGCUGGCAUUCUAGUCCUAGUAGAAAAAAUGACCUUGUCAAGCUCAAGCAGUGAUCGGGCACAUUAUUUCAAGCUACAUCAUAUUUAUUAAAUGGUUUUCCACUGAUUUAUGCA